rnacentral:lncRNA from 1 species
AGUUUUUGAUCUUAACUGUAAUUAAUGCUUUGUUUUUAAGUGUUUAGUUUGUAAUUUAGCAGAGUUUUUGAAAUAAAAGUUUUUACAGCAAGUGUUGUCCUUAAUAUCUAACACAAAUGAAAUAUAUUGUAUUUUAAAAUAUAACCAUUUAUUAGUUUAUAUUAUUUAGAAUAAUUUUCUAUAAUAUGCUAGAUUCUUUUAAAUACCUGUAAUAUUUUUAUUAAAUAGUACAGAAUGUCCCACUCAUAAGGGGCCCCGGGAAAAGUGUUAUAAAAAUCUUAAUAAAAGAGAAUAUGAAACCAAAUUUGUACAUUACAUACCUUUAUGGUUGAGAGGUGAAGGUACAUUGCAGGGGGUGCUGGAGGUGACCUCCCCCACCUGUAUGCACGGUUCAUUGCGGCACUGCAUGUUUGUGAAUGUUGCUGCCAGAGUAUUGGGCAUGACUGGCUGGAUUUCAUGAUGAUUGUUUUCAUGUAACUUGAUGAUGGUGCAUGGUUUGUUCUUGAAUCGUGUCUUUAUCUCACCCACACUUUCUUCCGAUAACUGUGAGUACCCCCUGCCUUGCAGAUCUAACAAUGUUUCCUUUGUCUCCAGCUUCAUCACUAGACCUUGAAUGCAGUGUUUAGAUGGUUUAUGUCGACCACCAAAACAUUCUAAACAGUCACUGAUAUGUCUUAAAGGAAUCGCUUAUCCAAUAUUGUUUCACAAGAAACACGUGCUCUUCCACAGAAUAUUGAUACAUCGUCAGAAUCAGGCAGCACCAGAAGAUGCAAGUCACCCAGAACACCAUGAACAGUAAGCCACACUACAUUGAAACACAAGACCCACACACAGUUCGCAGAACCUCAUUGUUGCCACAUUUCACAGAUUUACUGUACAAUGCUGCCAUGCCGAUGAGUUAUGUGAGAACAUCCACUAUGAAAUCCAAUACUCUGGCAGCAACAUUCAUGAACAUCCAGUGCCGUAUUGAACUGUGUGUGCGGGUGGGGG